rnacentral:rRNA from 1 species
GAUGAACGCUGGCGGCGUGCCUAAUACAUGCAAGUCGAGCGAACAGACGAGGAGCUUGCUCCUCUGACGUUAGCGGCGGACGGGUGAGUAACACGUGGAUAACCUACCUAUAAGACUGGGAUAACUUCGGGAAACCGGAGCUAAUACCGGAUAAUAUAUUGAACCGCAUGGUUCAAUAGUGAAAGACGGUUUUGCUGUCACUUAUAGAUGGAUCCGCGCCGCAUUAGCUAGUUGGUAAGGUAACGGCUUACCAAGGCAACGAUGCGUAGCCGACCUGAGAGGGUGAUCGGCCACACUGGAACUGAGACACGGUCGAGACUCCUACGGGAGGCAGCAGUAGGGAAUCUUCCGCAAUGGGCGAAAGCCUGACGGAGCAACGCCGCCUGAGUGAUGAAGGUCUUCGGAUCGUAAAACUCUGUUAUUAGGGAAGAACAAAUGUGUAAGUAACUAUGCACGUCUUGACGGUACCUAAUCAGAAAGCCACGGCUAACUACGUG